rnacentral:rRNA from 1 species
GAGUUUGAUCGUGGCUCAGGACGAACGCUGGCGGCAUGCCUAACACAUGCAAGUCGAACGAAGGCUUCGGCCUUAGUGGCGCACGGGUGCGUAACGCGUGGGAAUCUGCCCUUUGCUUCGGAAUAACAGUGGGAAACUACUGCUAAUACCGGAUGAUGUCUUCGGACCAAAGAUUUAUCGGCAAGGGAUGAGCCCGCGUAGGAUUAGGUAGUUGGUGGGGUAAAGGCCUACCAAGCCGACGAUCCUUAGCUGGUCUGAGAGGAUGAUCAGCCACACUGGGACUGAGACACGGCCCAGACUCCUACGGGAGGCAGCAGUGGGGAAUAUUGGAC